rnacentral:rRNA from 1 species
CCCUACGGGAGGCAGCAGUGGGGAAUAUUACGCAAUGGGCGAAAGCCUGACGCAGUGACGCCGCGUGGGGGAUGAAGGCCUUCGGGUUGUAAACCCCUGUCAGGAGAGACGAUGGGUGAAGGCUCUAACAUAGCCUUCAUCUGACUAUCUCCAGAGGAAGUCCCGGCCAACUACGUGCCAGCAGCCGCGGUAAUACGUAGGGGGCAAAUGUUGCUCGGAAUCACUGGGCGUAAAGGGUGUGUAGGUGGCUUUGCAAGAAAAAGGUAAAAUCCCAGAGCUCAACUCGGGAACGGCCUUUGAAACAGCAAAGCUGGAGGGCAGGAGAGGGGAGCGAAAUUCCCGGGGGAGCGGUAAAAUGCGUAGAUAUCGGGAGGAACACCGGAGGCGAAGGCGGCUUCCUGGACUGUCCCUGACACUGAAACACGAAAGCAAGGGGAGCAAACGGGAUUAGAUCCCCCUGUAGU